rnacentral:rRNA from 1 species
AGUGAACGCUGGCGGUAGGCCUAACACAUGCAAGUCGAACGGCAGCACAGUAAGAGCUCGCUCUUACGGGUGGCGAGUGGCGGACGGGUGAGGAAUACAUCGGAAUCUACUUUUUCGGGGGGGAUAACGUAGGGAAACAUACGCUAAUACCGCAUACGACCUACGGGUGAAAGCAGGGGAUCAUCGGACCUUGCGCGAUUGAAUGAGCCGAUGUCGGAUUAGCUAGUUGGCGGGGUAAAGGACCACCAAGGCGACGAUCCGUAGCUGGUCUGAGAGGAUGAUCAGCCACACUGGAACUGAGACACGGUCCAGACUCCUACGGGAGGCAGCAGUGGGGAAUCUUGGACAAUGGGUGCAAGCCUGAUCCAGCCAUACCGCGUGGGUGAAGAAGGCCUUCGGGUUGUAAAGCCCUUUUGUUGGGAAAGAAAAGCAGCAGGUUAAUACCCCGCUGUUCUGACGGUACCCAAAGAAUAAGCACCGGCUAACUUCGUG